GCACCGCCCGCAGGUACCGGGCUCGCAUCCGCGACGCCUGCCGCUCCGCCGUCCGAGACCAGCAAUACCCCUCUGCAAGCACACACACGUAUACGUAGUGUGUCAGAGUUUCAGUUCAGGCAAACAUUUGCUGUGCACCAAGGCCAGCGCCAAGAAGACGAGGUUCCUCGCGUUCUGAUAUAUCAAAACGAAAUUGCAGGUUAAUCAACCAUUCAUGGAUUUGGAUGGAUAGGAAUGAGGUUGAGCCGGCGUGUGCGUGCCUCGUUGAUCUUGGAGCUGAACUCGUUGAGGACGUCGGGGCCGCCGCCGAGGUCGUUGAAGAUGCGGCUGGUGAUAAACAGCAUCACCGGCGUCGACAUGCCGUCGCCCACGGCGCCCAACAGGCCCAGCGCCAUCAGCGCCACGUCAGCCGCGUCCGCAUGCAUGAACACCGACGCCAACGACGACCCGAACGCCGGCGCCGCCGCAGGGCCGCCCUUCUUCUCGCCGCCCAUGUCGUUGUUCCUACGAAGCGCUUAGUCGUUUGGUUGGUAGCCUCCUGCCUGUGAGGCUAGUCCGCCGGAGGAAGGGAGAGAUGCCCUGAGGCUUAUAUAGGCGGGUCGCCAGCAGGGGCAUGCGCCAACGAGCAAGCAAGCGCUGGCAAUUUUGAUUUGCUACUCAUGCAAAUCACAGUUUUAUCUUGCUCGUGCAUUCGUGUGUACCGGCAGUUAGACAUGCAACCUUUUUAUAUUUAUUUAUGAAUUUCUUCAAAAGAAUUGCAGGGGUUUCUACCUUGUUGAAAUGUACACGUCCCUAAUUUUUUUUGUAUACUUUUUGUUCCUCAACUGUUGUAACCGGACACCGAUGAUUCCUCGCCGUAUGUGAACCGGUUUCGCGGUUGUCCUCCGGUGUAAAUGCUAUUGUACUUUGUGUGUUAUCCAAUAAUUCAAUCAAAGUAGAAGUAUGGAUAUUAGCUAAUCA